rnacentral:rRNA from 1 species
UACGGAGGAUCCAAGCGUUAUCCGGAUUUAUUGGGUUUAAAGGGUGCGUAGGCGGUCCUAUAAGUCAGUGGUGAAAGACGGCAGCUUAACUGUCGCAGUGCCUUUGAUACUGUAGGACUCGAAUCUAUUUGAAGUGGGCGGAAUAAGACAAGUAGCGGUGAAAUGCAUAGAUAUGUCUUAGAACUCCGAUUGCGAAGGCAGCUCACUAAGUUAGUAUUGACGCUGAUGCACGAAAGCGUGGGGAUCAAACAGGAUUAGAAACCCGAGUAGU